CUUAUGGGUGUCCACUGUACCCAUGGUUUAAACAGGACUGGCUACCUCAUCUGCAGAUAUUUGAUUGAUGUAGAAGGCAUGUGGCCAGAUGAUGCAAUUGAAUACUGGUGUUUUAUCUUUACAAGUUCUGCGUCGUUCCAUAAGAAAGCUGCUCUUCUUCUGGUUUCAUAAGAGAUGGUGAACAAUGGU